ensembl:lncRNA
CACAGCUCUGGUUCUGAGCUGUGUUUGGAAAAUCCUUCUGUCACAGCUCUGUUUAAAUAAAUACAACAAGCUCUCUAGGACUGUAUGGUGAAUCUAUUCUACUUCUUGUUGGCUGAUUUCUUUGGAUCUGCUAAGAAGGUGAUAACAUCAGUUUUGUUUCUUUUUAACGCUUUAAAGGAAGCUUUGUGUGAUUUUUGCCAAUGCUGUGAGAAGUUUAGAAAAGAGGUAGGGAGGUGAUUUGAACGGUGGCUUCCACACCUCUUUUUGAGGGACCACAACAGGGUUUGGUUGUGCAGCGCCUGGGUCAGAUUCUGCUGCCCAUAUUAUGCAGGCAGCCUCCAGCCUUCAAAUGGACUGCGCCACAGAGCUUGAGAGCAAUGGGCAGCUCUGAGAAAACCGGAUGGUUUUAACCCUGAGUGCAGUCUGAAAACCAAAUGGUCCAAAUAGCCGCAGAAUGAUUAAUAGUCCCAAAAUGCCUGAAGCAAAGAGCAAGAUGGCAGCCACAGCCACUUGGGAUCUGUGAGAUCUGAAUUUUCCCAGGGAUCUGCUGGAGGGUAUGGCCUGUGGACCUGUACAUCUUGGUGGUCUGUGGCAGAGCAAAUCUCAACUUGAUCAAAUCAGCAGCAGAGCCUCAAGAAUUACGUGGGCACGUAAUGACCACUGAUUUCAUGAAACUGGUGCUAACGAGUGCUGGUUCCCAGAGCUCAGCUCAUUGCAUCAAGCAGCGAUGGCACUUGCUUUCUAAAGACACAAACAAUCCUUGGACUGGAUUCGGUAGGGAACACAUGCCAGCUCUUUUUGAAACAGCCUCCCCAGCAACAGCAGAUUUUGCCCAUCUUCCUUCCAUUUAUUUUGUUUUUGUAAAUAACGACGACGACCCCAGAGCUGUGUGGAUGUCCAGGCGGCACCUUACUGGCAUCCUCAGCAGACGGGGUGCUGUCAGUUUGUGCUCUGCGUGCCAGUGAGGUGUGCUCCCCUCCACCUGUGACUGUGGGAAGAAACAGGAACGUACCUGUAGACUGAAGAAAGAAAAGGGGACCCAAUCCUGCAUUUUGUAAGAUUAUCUUAUUAAAAGUAAUUUUAAAAAGCAGGGUUUUUCUUCUGCUUGCUGGUUCUGUGGUUUUUAUUUUUGCUUUUGCCUAUUCUGACCAAAACAGAAAAAAAAACCUCAACAUUGGAGACUAAAACUGGGCCCCAACCUUUGGGCAGCUCUCAGCAUGGUUAGCACUUGGGAAGGGCUGGAAAAUGAGGGGCUCUGCAAGGAGAUAAAAUGUAGGAAUCAAAACAACGAACAGAACAAGCCAGAGCACUGGCCAGGCAGGGCACUUGUGGGAAGGCUCAGAAUGGAAAUGCUGAGGAAAUCUCAUUUCUGAAAUUCACUCCUGGAAACAUCAGUGAGUGACAGACACCAAAAACGAGGGGGCACCGCAUGUCUUGAAAGCACGGCACAAAUCUGCACCUGUUCUGCUGCUUUCCAGAAAGUGUCGGGCACGGGGCAGGGAAUAAUACACCAUCCUCUCAAGCCUUCAUUUCGCAGCACCCUAAAAUAUACCACUGUCAUGGAAAAGAAAAUCAAGUGAAUAAACGUCCCAAUUUAUAUAUAUUUGAAUAGGUAACGAGAACAAUUUUACUGUUUGCCAUAAAUGAAAAAAAAAACCCACCAAAUCACUGCUCUGAUUGAGGUUCUGAA